GGAUAACUACCCUUUAGGACUGGGAUAACCUUGGGAAACUGAGGAUAAUACCGGAUAGGCAAUUAUUCCUGCAAUGGUUUUUUGUUUAAAUGUUUUUUCGCCUAAGGAUGGGUCUGCGGCCGAUUAGGUAGUUGGUUAGGUAAAGGCUUACCAAGCCGUUGAUCGGUACGGGUUGUGAGAGCAAGAGCCCGGAGAUGGAACCUGAGACAAGGUUCCAGGCCCUACGGGGUGCAGCAGGCGCGAAACCUCCGCAAUGUGAGAAAUCGCGACGGGGGGAUCCCAAGUGCCAUUCUUAACGGGAUGGCUUUUCAUUAGUGUAAAGAGCUUUUGGAAUAAGGGCUGGGCAAGACCGGUGCCAGCCGCCGCGGUAACACCGGCAGCUCUAGUGGUAGCAGUUUUUAUUGGGCCUAAAGCGUCCGUAGCCGGUUUAAUAAGUCUCUGGUGAAAUCCUGUAGCUUAACUGUGGGAAUUGCUGGAGAUACUAUUAGACUUGAGACCGGGAGAGGUUAGAGGUACUCCCAGGGUAGAGGUGAAAUUCUGUAAUCCUGGGAGGACCGCCUGUUGCGAAGGCGUCUAACUGGAACGGUUCUGACGGUGAGGGACGAAAGUUAGGGGCGCGAACCGGAUUAGAUACCCGGGUAGUCCUAACCGUAAACGAUGCGGACUUGGUGUUGGGGUGGCUUUGAGCUGCUCCAGUGCCGAAGGGAAGCUGUUAAGUCCGCCGCCUGGGAAGUACGGUCGCAAGACUGAAACUUAA
rnacentral:rRNA from 1 species